UAAAACAUUCUCUCAAGUACUCCUGGUUUAAACAGCUAACUCAAUAAAAGAAAAAAGUACAAACUGAUGGGUCAAUUUAUACUUAACUCAUAAAACUUAAAAUAAUUUUACUUUAACCAACAAGUAAAUGUGUUCAUAUAUUUCUACUAAUAUAUACUACUAUCAAGAAAUAAAGUUUGAGUCAAAUCAUUCAACAUAUUCAGUGCUUACUUAAGAGUCCCUUUAUCUUCUGAUCAAAGUUAAGACCAAAGAAAAUUCACAAAACUGCUCUUCUGAAAUUCAUCAGUCUUAGGAUAUACCCAUCUGUAACUAAGCUCUCUUCCUUUUUUCAGAACUGUACACAAUACGAGACAGG
rnacentral:lncRNA from 1 species